AUCACCUGUGCAUCUUGUUAAAAUGCAGAUUCUGGUUCAGUACGUCUGGGUGGGGCCUGAGAGUCUGCAUUUUGAACAAGCUCCCAGGUGCUGCUGG
rnacentral:pre_miRNA from 1 species